GCCAAUAGCACACACAUUCAUGUGUAAUUAAUGCCAUUUAUUUAGCAAAUCGAUUUUGCGAUUAAUGCGGAGUAUGAUAAUCGUUGUUAUUACGUAUACAAUCCGCAUACCAAAUACAUACACGCAUAUUUACAGAUAUACUACUGGUAGCAGCUGGGUGUGUUGGUUGGAUUAGUACGCAAUCAAGUGCAUUCCCAGACCCCUCUACUCUCCCAUUGCCAACUCUUCUCGAGCGGUACCUUCCGGUCCCACUCCUUGUUUCCACAAACGAACGACAUUGGCAACGAACUUGCCGGCAAAUGGGGUAAGGAUGGAAGUUUGUGGCUGCACAAUGUUGAUGUUUUAUGCUCUUUCGAUGAGCUUGCCAUCCAAAAUAUGAUGAGACGGAGACGGAAAACGGCAAUUGCACAACAACAAAGUACGAUAAAUGAACACUGUGAGUGUCUGGGCCAAAGUUACAGAUAACAGCAAACAUCACCGGACUUAAUUUAUUCUUGACGAGCACACACAUACCUCAAUUAAUUGAU